rnacentral:tRNA from 1 species
GGCAUUUGUUCUAGUGGUAUGAUUCUUGCUUUGGAUGCAAGAAGUCCCUGAGUUCAAUUCUCAUAAUGCCA